rnacentral:rRNA from 1 species
AACGAACGCUGGCGGCAUGCCUAACACAUGCAAGUCGAACGAGACCUUCGGGUCUAGUGGCGCACGGGUGCGUAACGCGUGGGAACCUGCCCUUAGGUUCGGAAUAACUCCCCGAAAGGGGUGCUAAUACCGGAUAAUGUCUUCGGACCAAAGAUUUAUCGCCUUUGGAUGGACCCGCGUUGGAUUAGCUAGUUGGUAGGGUAAAAGCCUACCAAGGCGACGAUCCAUAGCUGGUCUGAGAGGAUGAUCAGCCACACUGGGACUGAGACACGGCCCAGACUCCUACGGGAGGCAGAAGUGGGGAAUAUUGGACAAUGGGCGAAAGACUGAGCCAGCAAUGCCGCGUGAGUGAUGAAGGCCUUAGGGUUGUAAAGCUCUUUUACCCGGGAUGAUAAUGACAGUACCGGGAGAAUAAGCGCCGGCUAACUCCGUG